GACAUGUGCGCAAGCUGUGCCAGCAGACAGUUCCAGCUCUCAACAACUGAUGCACAGACAGCUGCUGUUUCUCCCUUCCCCUGCUCCCCUAAUUAUUCUCCUUCUUUCGUUUCUUCACUACACUGCCUUCAUUCAUCCCCUCUGUACUUUCCCCUUCCUUCCCUCUACUUUGUCAUUCUGUCCUGCACUUUUCCUCAGGCAGAUAUAAAGGCAGGUCUCGUUGGAGGGAGAGGGCUUGUGUAAUCUCUGGCUGCACAUGAGCACCAAUGAGUUAUUGCUUCAGCUGGAAAGGCACCACGGACGCGUAAAGGACAAACUUUGGAAUAAGGAGAGGAAGGAAGGAAUACCUCUGAGACAGGAAGGGAGGAGAAGGGAGGGAGACGCAGAAAGAGUUCGGAGCUGGGGUGCAGGACGCAGACCAUGCCGGGCUCUGUGGUGCUGCUACUGCUGUCCCUGUUGGUCCUGGCCACAGGAAGUGAUUCCAGGAGAAUCAGGAAAAGAGGACUCAACCAUAAGGACUACGAGUACCCCAACCACCCCCAGUCCACACAGCACCAGAAGAAUGACCGUUGUCCACCGCCACCCCAGAUGUUGCCAGAGCGAGCCUGUGAGGUGCCCGGCUGCCGCUCCGACUCAGAGUGUGAGCGCCAUAAACGCUGCUGCUACAAUGGCUGCAUCUACGCCUGCCUGGAGUCUGUCCAGCCGCCACCAGUGUUGGACUGGCUGGUGCAGCCCAAGCCUCGGUGGUUGGGCGGCAACGGCUGGCUGUUAGACGGCCCUGAGGAGGUUCUGCAGGCUGAGGCCUGCAGCACAACUGAGGAUGGAGACGAGCCUCUUCAUUGUCCUACGGGCUACGAGUGCCACAUCAUCAAUCCAGGAAACCCUGCUGCUGGCAUUCCUAACCGGGGACAAUGCAUCAAGCAACGUGGCAACUCCGAUGGACGUGGUCUGAGGCACAAAUACUUCAAGGACUACAAGGACUACUUAGGUAAGUGAGGUACCAGUACAAACAAUGCAGUGGGCUACGAAAAACAUCAUCACAAGCACCUGGGAUGAAAUCAACCAGACCUCCACCUCAGCUACGACCAUGACACAACUCGAGACGUCAGCCCAGUGCUGUUGGAUCUGCUCUCAUCACACCUGAACCAGGAUCAGAUCUGCCCUUUUUUUACCAAAACUACAGCUGCUACCUCCUCUUUUCAAAGCCCCGUAUUGCAGCCUGUCCUCAGUCACAAAGUCCUUUUCGGAGACAAGUCUGACGUACAUACUACAUACACAGCCAAAGAAAUAAGUGCUUUUUUUUGUCUCUCUGUGUGAUGUCCAUAAGAAAAGGUGGAGCAGAGGGUGGUGAUGGGGAAGCAGAGGAGAGCACAGCAGGGCGUGCACCAAAGCUGUUCAUCAAAUGUCCCAAAAAGGAAAUAAGAAACCCCUGCCAAUUUUUUUCUCUUUUCUUUACAACCCCUCUCCCUCCCUGCAACUCAUUAUUAUUCUCACCAACACAUCUUUUAACCUUAAGGCUGGUCAGCGGAGAAAAUCCAGACUGUGUGUAACUUAUUCUGUCUCUCUUGUUGUCAGAAAGGACGGUGCUCACAUUUCCUGAUCUGAAAUCUGGAAAGUUUCAUAGACAAAUAGAAAGAAAAAAAAAACAGCUGGAGUGGUCUCUGAAUUAAAUCCACAUGAUUAAAAGAAGAAAUGCCAUAAUGAGUGAGUGUGUGGAUUUGGAACAGCUGUAGAUUAGUUCCAGCCAACAGAUGCUGACCAUGACUUCAUUGCUGUGAAAAUCAAAAUCAAAAUAAGGAAAAAAUAUUUCAUUUGAGAGAGAUGAAGAUUUAAAGAGAUACUCCAACAAUUUUCAUACUGAAAGGUUGUCCCUUCAAUAUUAAACUCUGUAUAUAUUAUAUCUGUGAUUCAUUUCCAAGUCAGACAACAAAUAUCUACAAGAGCAGUAUGGUUGUGCACACAUCUCCUAAUUUUCAAUAAUCAUACUGCGUUAUUUCAAAAAUACUGGUCCUUCUGUUAAACUUCCCACUAUGCAGUGCAGCCAUGAUAAUAAAAAGGGCUUUUUCACCGAGCAGAUAUGUGUUAUUCUAGAGCAUAACUUGCUGCAAUGAGCUGUUUAAACUUAGGUUGUGUCUCUUAUCAAUUCAAAUGGUGCUCAGCUUCAUUGCUGCCUAUAAUAACAGGAGAAUAAGCUGUUCACAUAAUAAGCUGAAGGUGUCAAACAGUAAGCUGUAACCAUUCUCUAUAUGUGCAGAGCUAAAGUGAUUUCUGAAUAUUGCUAUCUGACUGGUGCUGUAAUGUUGCCUUGUUAAUUCUGAAUAAACCACAUUGUUGAAGUC